rnacentral:tRNA from 2 species
AGGGGUGUAGUUCAAUGGUAGAACAGCGGUCUCCAAAACCGUUGGUUGUGGGUUCAAGUCCUGUCACCCCUGCCA